rnacentral:rRNA from 1 species
AGCAGCCGCGGUAAUUCCAGCUCCAAUAGCGUAUAUUAAAGUUGUUGCAGUUAAAAAGCUCGUAGUUGAACUUCAGGCCUGGCUGGACGGUCCGCCCUCUGGGUGAGCACUGUCUGUGGUCGGGUCCUACCUUCUGGCGAAGCGGCAUGGCCUUAACCGGCCGUGGCGGGGAACCAGGACUUUUACUGUGAAAAAAUUAGAGUGUUCAAAGCAGGCACGCGCUUGAAUACAUUAGCAUGGAAUAAUGGAAUAGGACAAUGGUUCUAUUUGUUGGUUUCUAGGACCGUUGUAAUGAUUAAUAGGGAUAGUUGGGGGCAUUAGUAUUCAAUUGUCAGAGGUGAAAUUCUUGGAUUUAUUGAAGACUAACUACUGCGAAAGCAUUUGCCAAGGAUGUUUUCAUUAAUCAAGAACGAAAGUUAGGGGAUCGAAGACGAUCAGAUACCGUCGUAGUCUUAACCAUAAACUAUGCCGACUAGGAAUCGGGCGAUGUUGAAAAAUGAACGCGCUCGGCA